CCCACAUGCAGGGCACACGCCAGGAGCUGCCAGGUGUACUUGGCGGUGCUGGUUCUCAGGGCCGGUUUCCGGCCAGGACUCUAAGGUGGCUUCAUCAUGAAUGAUUUCUCACAGCGACUCCAAUCCACUCUGAAUUCCCUUGGAGGAACUGACAGGAUAUACCCUUCCUGGACUGCCAGCCGGGCCACUGCACACAGGGAAGCUGGCAGCAUCACCGCCCGGACCUCACAGAUGUCCUGAGAAGAAUUGUAACUUUCAUUGUGGCACCCACGGAAGGAGUAUUUUCAAGCACCCUCAUCUAAGUAAAGGACUGGGUGCUCUGUGAAAGCAAGGAUCAUGUUUAUUCUGGCCACCACUGUUUCCCCCCAAGCCUGGCACAGAGAAGAUGCUCGCAGGGACAGUGCUGAACUCCCUACCUGGGUGGAGAAUAUGGUUUAGAGAAACGUGAUGGUGACUAGUGAGAGCCCUGGGCAAGUUCCGGAAAGCCAUUCAUGGAACUAGCUUGAUCAAACACCGGACGUCAGCAGGUAAUCUCAAGGCGGUUAUUCUUCUUUAAAAUUACUCAUCGAAUUAACGGAAGCAAAACCUGAGCACCAUGUUCACCAUGAAAUCGGAAGAAGAAAAAACAACCACACAAGAGCUAUGUGGGUGCAGGAGUUUCUGCUGCGAACUGUAAGCUUCCUGCAAACAGGAGCUGUGCCUGGAGUUUGAUUCUCCGUCUGCAUCCCCAACGUCACACACAGUGUACGUUCUCCGUAAGUCUGCUGAUGGAGAAGGAAAAAAGUGAAGCAAAGGGUCGGUACCAUAGCAAGCUUGAGGGAAACGGAUGGAAAGAGAUUUAGGGCAGUUUCUCUAGAGCCUUUUCAAGGCAAGUCUGUGCAAUAGAGAGGGACUUGUUAAUCAUUCAGAAAUCCGGUCAUAACAGAACCGAGGAAAACAGCAUCAUGGUUACAUAAUACUGAUUUCAUGAAAAGUGAAGGCUGCCAGCUUGAAACCACAGCUCCUUCCCUUUCCAGCAAACCCCCAUCCUGACAAUGUCUUGGACUGUUUGCUUCCAUGUCAAAGCAGAAUGGUGUGUUCUGUGUCACGUCAGUGUGUGCUGGGCUCACCUGGGGAUCCUGUCACACGGGAUCUGCUUCAGCAGGUCCGGCCAAGGGCUGAGAGGAUGGCUUUCUGACACCCAAGCUGCCGGUGCGUGGGCCGCACACUGGGAAUGGAGCCUGUGGACCAGUGCUGCCCACGCACGGCUCCCUGCUGAGCCACCGCCUGGGUCCCACCUGGGGUGUGGCCUGGGCUUUGGACAUUCUCAAGCAUCCCCAGGUGGUCUGAGUGUGGGAACCACCGCUCUGGUUGAUACAGAAUUAGGUUCUAAAGCGCUGGGUCUACCUUUCUGCUCCUCUCUGGCAGGCUGGCUUAUCUUGGGCCCAUCAGGUACCUGUCUGUCAGUUCCUGAAACUUCUGGAUACACAUGCCUGGGUCACCGACGAUCCCUUUGGAGUCCAUUUUCCUAGGUCUGAGGUGAGGGGCUGGCUCCCCAACCCUCCCGUCUCUCCAAACUUCCUGAAGGCUGGAGGCAGGUGGUUACCUAAGAGCCAGAAAGUGUUUCACCAACCCUGCCGGAGGCCGCCCACCUCGCUUUGGAUGUGUGAGGGCUCAGUCGGCGGCUUAGGACGGCAGGCCCUGCACCCUCCACAGAAGGGCUGGCCCUUGGCAGGGAUAAGCUGCCAGCUUUGGAAUGUUCUGCCUGAUAAGAGUCCUUGUACACAUGGGACGUUGAACUACACCAGAGAGCUUAGGUUGACCAUUUAUGACGAGGGCCCUCCUUUGUGUCUGACUCUGGAGAGGCCGGCGACCUCCAAGGUCAGGUAGCUAAGGUCAGGCAGUCGGUGCCCAGGUGACUGACCCUCGACAGAACAGAAGCUCAGCCGAGCCUCCCUGGUUGGCAGUGCUUUGUGUGUUGUCACACUUGGCUUCUGGGAAAAUAAAGCGCUGUCUGUGCAUCUCCGCUGGGAGAGGACAGCUGGAAGCUCAUGUCUGGUCUGUCUGGGCUCCGGCCUCUGCACCUUUGUCUUUGCUGAUUUUCACCUCUACCCUUUCACUGUCAUGUGUUGUAACUGUAAAUAGGGCAGCUUUUCUGAGUUCUCUGAAGCCCUUUUGCCACGUCAUUGAACCUGAGCAUGGUCUCGGGAACCCCCAGCACUGGUGCCAAAAAUGAAACUAAAACGUUACUUUUUUAACACAUUAUUACAGUAUAAUAAUAAUAAAAAAACCUCAAAGCUCCAGAAAGUUAGAGCUUAAUAUAACAAAAACCCAUGUGCCCACCACAGAGAAUAAAUACAUUUUUCUCCGAUUUGCUUCAGUUCUUCCUGAAUUUUCUUUUUUUGAUUAGGAAAUGAAAGAGAACAGACACAAACCGAGUUUUUCGGUAGCCCACCCCGGUCCUGUU